rnacentral:rRNA from 1 species
GACGUAGGGGGCAAGCGUUGUUCGGAAUUAUUGGGCGUAAAGCGCUCGUAGGCGGGACAGGAAGUUCGUGUUGAAAGACCUCGGCUCAACUGAGGGACCGGCUCGAAUACUCUUGUUCUUGAGGCAAUCAGAGGGUGAUGGAAUUCCCGGUGUAGCGGUGGAAUGCGCAGAUAUCAGGAGGAACACCGGUGGCGAAGGCGGGUCUCUGGGCAGUAACUGACGCUGAGGAGCGAAAGCGUGGGGAGCGAACAGG